CCAGACGAUCGGAUGGCCGCUCUUCACCGGUUCUGCCGGUGCAGAGAGGAAAGUCCGGGCUCCACGGAGGUACGGUGCCGGGUAACGCCCGGCGGGGGCGACCCCAGGGAAAGUGCCACAGAAACACACCGCCAACCCGUCCUCCUCUCAGGCGGCGGGCGGCAAGGGUGAAAUGGUGCGGUAAGAGCGCACCGCGCCGUCGGCAACGGCGGCGGCAGGGCAAACCCCACCGGGAGCAAGACCAAGUAGGAGCGGCAGGCGGCGUCGGUCUCGGCCGAUGCCUCCGGGCGGGCCUUCCGCGCCGCCGCUCGGGUCGGUCGCGCGAGGCGUUCGGCGACGAACGUCCCAGAUGAAUGGCCAUCCCCGCCGAAUGGCGGGACAGAACCCGGCUUACAGAUCGUCUGGCGAU
rnacentral:RNase_P_RNA from 1 species